rnacentral:rRNA from 1 species
CUGCAGUCGAGCGACUGAUUAGAAGCUUGCUUCUAUGACGUUAGCGGCGGACGGGUGAGUAACACGUGGGCAACCUGCCUGUAAGACUGGGAUAACUUCGGGAAACCGAAGCUAAUACCGGAUAGGAUCUUCUCCUUCAUGGGAGAUGAUUGAAAGAUGGUUUCGGCUAUCACUUACAGAUGGGCCCGCGGUGCAUUAGCUAGUUGGUGAGGUAACGGCUCACCAAGGCAACGAUGCAUAGCCGACCUGAGAGGGUGAUCGGCCACACUGGGACCGAGACACGGCCCAGACUCCUACGGGAGGCAGCAGUAGGGAAUCUUCCGCAAUGGACGAAAGUCUGACGGAGCAACGCCGCGUGAGUGAUGAAGGCUUUCGGGUCGUAAAACUCUGUUGUUAGGGAAGAACAAGUACGAGAGUAACUGCUCGUACCUUGACGGUACCUAACCAGAAAGCCACGGCUAACUACGUGCCAGCAGCCGCGGUAAUACGUAGGUGGCAAGCGUUAUCCGGAAUUAUUGGGCGUAAAGCGCGCGCAGGCGGUUUCUUAAGUCUGAUGUGAAAGCCCACGGCUCAACCGUGGAGGGUCAUUGGAAACUGGGGAACUUGAGUGCAGAAGAGAAAAGCGGAACUCCACGUGUAGCGGUGAAAUGCGUAGAGAUGUGGAGGAACACCAGUGGCGAAGGCGGCUUUUUGGUCUGUAACUGACGCUGAGGCGCGAAAGCGUGGGGAGCAAACAGGAUUAGAUACCCUGGUAGUCCACGCCGUAAACGAUGAGUGCUAAGUGUUAGAGGGUUUCCGCCCUUUAGUGCUGCAGCUAACGCAUUAAGCACUCCGCCUGGGGAGUACGGUC